UGGAAGCUAGACUUGUGACCGGAAGAGGCUAAAAUGCCUCCCGAAAUAGGUGGAUCCGUGGCCCCUAUCAAUUAAAAAAAAAGUCAAAAAAAAGUUACGUAUACACCUAUACGCAUGGACUCCAGGUCUGCUAUCCCUUAAAUUGUGUCUCAUUUGUAUCUCCUUACUAAUAUUUUGACACAUAUCCUUUAACUUAACUUAAAACUUAAAUUUACAAAAAAUAAUCCAAAAUAAUAAAAAAAAACGGUUGGGGUAACGAGGUGGGCAAACCCAAAUAGGAUUCUUUACCUUCUUUUAGGUGGUUGUUCAAUGAACAACUUCUCUGUUCAAGCUUUCUGGUAGAACUCGAUGAUGGCGCGUGGCUUCUUGCUGGUAGGCGGAGGAAUCACCAGACAUGAAUCGGUCCAAGCGUAGGUUAGUCUGCUAGUGGUGGAACUGGAAAGUGAGAUUAAUAAACAAUUCCCAACUGAAAGGUGAUCAAAGAACUCCAUGCUAUGAAUCAGGUACACACACACACACUUACUUAUUGAACCAUUUAUAAUUUUCUUGCUGAAAAGGAACAAGAAAAUUUCCAACGGCGUAUCCCACAAAUUUCCAAAGUCCUCCCAAAUUCGUCUUCUCAAAGUUUCCGUUUGUUUCCCGAGAAAAGGAACAAGAAAAUUUCCGAUGGCGCCCAAAGCUGAGAAGAAGCCCACGGAGAAGUCCACCGUGGCAGAGAAACCCCCCACCGAGAAGAAGCCCAUGGCCGGGAAUAAGCUCCCAAGGAGGCCGGAGCCGCCGCCGGAGAUAAGAAGAAGAGAUCAAAGAAGAGCGUAUAUAUACGUGGAUUUUUUAAAAAAAAAAUUUAAUGUUAAAUAAAUAAAGUUAAUGGAAUUAAGUUAAAAGACAUGUGUCAAAAUAUUAGUAAGAAGACACAAAUGAAACACAAUUUCGAGGAAAACAGACCUGAAGCCUUACGCAUACCUCUCUCGUCACAUAAAAUGAAUACAAUAAUGCAAAUACAUGUUGGUUGACAACGCCCGACACAAGAUCUUCUCCCAUGGCAUUAGAAAUUAGAAAUAUAUUCUCAUCAAAGGCACUUUUCACGCACACCGAAUGCCCCAAGUAGGAUACCAUGGUUCCUUCCACACAUAUUUAAUAUAGACUAAUUAAAUUAUAGUCGGUACAUAUUCUUUACGAAAAGUCACCUCUUAGAGACGAAUUCACUUGAAUAAACUAAUCUCCAAUCUCUGAAAACUGACAUUGAAACUAUUAAGAGUUUGUGUAGCAUCUGACCAGCAUUUUACAUGCUUUAUCUACCGAUUUAAAUAGCAGUUUAAAGUUUCUAAAAUAUUCUUUCUUCACUUGGAUUAGUUUACAGUUUAGUAAAGUAAGCCGUAUUUGUUUAUUUGCCUGUGUUUUUCUUUAUAUAUUGAGCUGCAAUUCAUUGUCUUCCUAGCAAACUCUUUCUGCUGAGAAAACAUGGUGGCGGAUCUUCGAACAGAAUCUUCGGAUUACCGGACCGAGCUCUUGUCGCCGGACGCGACGGGAGAGACUGUGACAGUGCCAACUGAGGCAUCGUGGAGGCUCAACAUGGAUGGAUUCAACCUUCCAGCUGAGAGAAGCAUGGAUUCUUACUUUGGCCUUGGCUCUUUUGUAAACUCAUUAAGUAAGCUGUUAAGUCCUUUUCUCUUAAGUCCCCUUCGUAUUAUCAAACUCAAAUUAGCAUUGAAAUUCUCUCUAAUUCCAUCACAGGGAGGCAGAGAAAAAUUGCGCAAUAUUACAAGAGGCAGAAUAAGCUUCUCAAAGGAUUCAACGAGAUAGACUCAUUUUCUGAGAUGGGUUUUUGGCCUGGAAGUUUAACACAGGUUUGUCGUUAAUUUCGUCGUUUUAGGCCAGUUUGUCAAUCAAAUUUUCCCGUCACCUUGAAUCCAAGUUCAAAUUCCCAUCCCUG
rnacentral:lncRNA from 1 species